UUUAAUUUUAAGCUAAAUCCAAUAUAAUCUUAAUUGUUGUAUUUGGAUUAUAUUAAUUUACAUAGUUAGGUUUCUAAUUAUGGUUCUUUAAUCACUCAUUAGUUUUCAUUAUUUCAGUUCCUCUAGGAUAUAUAUGAACUUAGGAUGUAUGAUAUUUAUUUGCCACAUGGCGUUAAAAAAACCAAGUUAAAGUUGACAUCUGCAUAUUUAUUAUACCAAUGAGCAAUUUAUUUCUCCAAUGCUCUUGGGCAAACGUGGCCUAACAAACUUUUUUAUAUAAAAGUUAUUCUAAUGUAACUAAUUAACUAUGUAAUAAAUGUUGACUUGAAUUUAUAGCAGUUUAGCUACCAAGGUGUUCAAACAUGAUGAGCUAGAAACCUUAUUAACAUUAGUAAGAAAAUUUGGUCUAGUCAACGUGUGAGUUCUAUGUAUUUCAUGCAUGCAUGCAUACAUGCAAACAUAUCCUUACAUAUUGCAUACAUAUAUAUAUAUAUAC
rnacentral:misc_RNA from 1 species